rnacentral:lncRNA from 1 species
CACUCUCUCCCUCAAAUUCUCUCCCAAACCUAACUUCUCUUCAUUGAUCCGCUACUUGAUUUAUCAAACAACAUUGAAGAUCCGACCAAGAAGGUUGUAGAUAUGUGUUAUAUUUGUGAUGUUUAUGUAUCAUGUGAUGUUAAUUGAAGUUAUUGACGUUUAAUUUUUAUUUUGUUUUGUACUAUGUAAACCAUAACCAACCUAUUCUCCAUCAUCUUCUUGAAUCGGCUAACAAGAUCAGAGGUAUGUGAUUUGUGUUUGAUGUUUAUCCUAACUCGGAGAUAA